GCUGGCGGCAGGCCUAAUACAUGCAAGUCGAGCGCGCCCUUCGGGGUGAGCGGCGGACGGGUGAGUAACGCGUGGGAAUAUGCCCUUCUCUAAGGAAUAGCCUCUGGAAACGGAGAGUAAUACCUUAUACGCCCUUUGGGGGAAAGAUUUAUCGGAGAAGGAUUAGCCCGCGUUAGAUUAGGUAGUUGGUGGGGUAAUGGCCUACCAAGCCUACGAUCUAUAGCUGGUUUGAGAGGAUGAUCAGCCACACUGGGACUGAGACACGGCCCAGACUCCUACGGGAGGCAGCAGUAGGGAAUCUUAGACAAUGGGGGCAACCCUGAUCUAGCCAUGCCGCGUGUGUGAUGAAGGCCCUAGGGUCGUAAAGCACUUUCGCCAGAGAUGAUAAUGACAGUAUCUGGUAAAGAAACCCCGGCUAACUCCGUGCCAGCAGCCGCGGUAAUACGGAGGGGGUUAGCGUUGUUCGGAAUUACUGGGCGUAAAGCGCACGUAGGCGGAUUAGUAAGUUAGAGGUGAAAUCCCAGGGCUCAACCCUGGAACUGCCUUUAAUACUGCUAGUCUUGAGUUCGAGAGAGGUAAGUGGAAUUCCGAGUGUAGAGGUGAAAUUCGUAGAUAUUCGGAGGAACACCAGUGGCGAAGGCGGCUUACUGGCUCGAUACUGACGCUGAGGUGCGAAAGUGUGGGGAGCAAACAGGAUUAGAUACCCUGGUAGUCCACACCGUAAACGAUGAAUGCCAGACGUCAGCAAGUAUACUUGUUGGUGUCACACCUAACGGAUUAAGCAUUCCGCCUGGGGAGUACGG
rnacentral:rRNA from 1 species